rnacentral:rRNA from 1 species
AUUGAACGCUGGCGGCAGGCCUAACACAUGCAAGUCGAGCGAGCGGCGGACGGGUGAGUAAUGUCUGGGAAACUGCCUGAUGGAGGGGGAUAACUACUGGAAACGGUAGCUAAUACCGCAUACCAUCAGAUGUGCCGAGAUGGGAUUAGCUAGUAGGUGGGGUAACGGCUCACCUGGGCGACGAUCCCUAGCUGGUCUGAGAGGAUGACCGGCCACACGGGAACUGAGACACGGUCCGGACUCCUACGGAAGGCAGCAGUGGGGAAUAUUGGACAAUGGGCGCAAGCCUGAUGCAGCCAUGCCGCGUGUGGGAAGAAGGCUUUCGGGUUGUAAAGCACUUUCAGCGGGGAGGCGUUACCCGCAGAAGAAGCACCGGCUAACUCCGUGCCAGCAGCCGCGGUAAUAC